rnacentral:lncRNA from 1 species
GGUCGUGGCCCUCACCGUCGCCUUCCCUCCUCUGUGGCCUGCCUGUGUCGUGGUCGUCGGGACUACUUGCCGUGGACGCGGUGGUUGACAUCUACGGCUAGCCGUGGAUUAGCACCUCGCUGCCUCCACAAAGUAUGGAUGCACCAUCUUCUGCUGCGGAGCGUGUGCUACUCCAGAGUAAUUUGCAAUGUUGUGGCAUAUAUGCUCGGUGGAAGAAGCUUCUGAUUUUGAUUUACAGGUGAUGCUGACAGGUCAAAGCUGUUUUGUUGGCUGCUGGCUUCAUGUGCUGUUAUAGUUCGCUACGGACAGUACAUAAGUUCCCUACAGCUACAAGUUUGGUGUACCAUAAUGUGUCAUGUAUUCAAUUUUGAGGUUUGGUAUUGAUUCAUUGAUCCCCUUUCCUAGGAUUCAUUAUUGGAAAUUGAUCUUGGGCUAUGGAACUAAGAUGAUCUACUCAAUAAGUUUUCUUACCACUAUAUCUUUUUUGUGUACUAAAUCACUGAUUAAUUACUACACUUAGCAAGAAACAAAGCUAGCGUUCGAGGGUGUGGAGGAGGUGAAACACAUGGGUCACCAUCACCCUUUCCCUCUAGAUCUGGUGCGUGUACUUUAACCUGGAUAUUCAGAGACGUCUUGAAAGGAAAACAAUUUGGACAUUAGUUGUAUAUUUGAUGAAGCUAUCUAAUUUGGACUUGAAAUUACAAUGUAAAAUUUCCUUUCAACUACUAAUUCAAUUUACAAAUUUUUGAACUUUACUUCUGCCACCAUAUGCUCCCAGUCAUCCCCGCCGCAUGUACGUCGCUGGUUCAUCCCGAUGCUUGUCAUCCUCAUCGUAACUGCCGUAGUUUGGCACCAGGCUACCUACCGGCGACGUUGCCCCGCAUGCCGUUGCCAGCUACUGCUCCUUACGG